rnacentral:rRNA from 1 species
AGAUUGAACGCUGGUGGCAUGCUUUACACAUGCAAGUCGAGCGGCAGCGCGGGGGCAACCCUGGCGGCGAGCGGCGAACGGGUGAGGAACACAUCGGAACGUGCCCCGGAGUGGGGGAUAACGCCGCGAAAGCGGCGCUAAUACCGCAUAUGCUCUGAGGAGGAAAGCGGGGGACCUGCGAGGGCCUCGCGCUCUGGGAGCGGCCGAUGUCCGAUUAGCUAGUUGGUGGGGUAAUGGCUCACCAAGGCGACGAUCGGUAGCUGGUCUGAGAGGAUGAUCAGCCACACUGGGACUGAGACACGGCCCAGACUCCUACGGGAGGCAGCAGUGGGGAAUUUGGACAAGUGGGGCAACCCUGAUCCAGCCAGUCGCCGUCG